GGCCAAAUGGUCUAGUCGUAUGAUUCCUGCUUUGGGUUAAAAUCCAUCUGCAGGAGGUCCCGGGUUCAAAUCCCGGUUUGGCCC